UACAGGGGGUGCAAACGUUGCUCGGAAUCUUGGGCGUAAAGCGCACGUAGGCGGUUCGUUAUGUCGGAUGUGAAAGCCCUUGGCUUAACUGAGGAAGUGCAUCCGAAACUGGCGAGCUAGAGUACUAAAGAGGAUCGCGGAAUUCCCGGUGUAGAGGUGAAAUUCGUAGAUAUCGGGAGGAACACCGGUGGCGAAGGCGGCGAUCUGGGUAGAUACUGACGCUGAGGAGCGAAAGCGUGGGGAGCGAACAGG
rnacentral:rRNA from 1 species